UACAGAGGGGGCAAGCGUUAUUCGGAAUUAUUGGGCGUAAAGGGCGCGUAGGCGGCCGUGCACGUGGAAGGUGAAAUCCCUCGGCUCAACCGAGGAACUGCCUUUCAAACUGCUUGGCUUGAGUCCGGGAGAGGUGAGUGGAAUUCCCAGUGUAGCGGUGAAAUGCGUAGAUAUCUGGAGGAACACCGGUGGCGAAGGCGGCAUCCUGGACCGGCAUUGACGCUGAGGCGCGAAAGCCAGGGGAGCAAACGGG
rnacentral:rRNA from 1 species